rnacentral:rRNA from 1 species
AGUGAACGCUGGCGGUAGGCCUAACACAUGCAAGUCGAACGGCAGCACAGUAAGAGCUUGCUCUUACGGGUGGCGAGUGGCGGACGGGUAAGGAAUACAUCGGAAUCUACUUUUUCGUGGGGGAUAACGUAGGGAAACUUACGCUAAUACCGCAUACGACCCACGGGUGAAAGCAGGGGAUCUUCGGACCUUGCGCGAUUGAAUGAGCCGAUGUCGGAUUAGCUAGUUGGCGGGGUAAAGGCCCACCAAGGCGACGAUCCGUAGCUGGUCUGAGAGGAUGAUCAGCCACACUGGAACUGAGACACGGUCCAGACUCCUACGGGAGGCAGCAGUGGGGAAUAUUGGACAAUGGGCGCAAGCCUGAUCCAGCCAUACCGCGUGGGUGAAGAAGGCCUUCGGGUUGUAAAGCCCUUUUGUUGGGAAAGAAAAGCAGCAGGUUAAUACCCCGCUGUUCUGACGGUACCCAAAGAAUAAGCACCGGCUAACUUCGUG